rnacentral:rRNA from 1 species
UACGUAGGUGGCAAGCGUUGUCCGGAUUUAUUGGGUUUAAAGGGUGCGUAGGCGGCUUUGUAAGUCAGUGGUGAAAUAUGGCAGCUUAACUGUCAAGGUGCCAUUGAUACUGCGGAGCUUGAGUACAGAUGAGGUAGGCGGAAUUGGCGGUGUAGCGGUGAAAUGCUUAGAUAUCGUCAAGAACACCUAUAGCGAAGGCAGCUUACUAGGCUGUAACUGACGCUGAGGCACGAAAGUGUGGGGAUCAAACAGG